CGGGGUGUAACUCAGCCCGGUAGAGUGCCAGCUUUGGGAGCUGGAAGCCGCUAGUUCGAAUCUAGUCGCCCCGA
rnacentral:tRNA from 1 species